UACGUAGGGUGCAAGCGUUGUCCGGAAUUAUUGGGCGUAAAGAGCUCGUAGGCGGUUUGUCGCGUCGGCUGUGAAAACUCGGGGCUUAACCCCGAGCCUGCAGUGGAUACGGGCAGACUAGAGGUAGGUAGGGGAGAAUGGAAUUCCCGGUGUAGCGGUGAAAUGCGCAGAUAUCGGGAGGAACACCGGUGGCGAAGGCGGUUCUCUGGGCCUUACCUGACGCUGAGGAGCGAAAGCGUGGGGAGCGAACAGG
rnacentral:rRNA from 1 species